AGAGUUUGAUCAUGGCUCAGGACGAACGCUGGCGGCGCGCUUAACACAUGCAAGUCGAGCGAGAACCAGGGCUUCGGCCCUGGGGACAGCGGCGAACGGGUGAGUAACACGUGGAUAACCUGCCCUCGGCACCGGGAUAGCCCGGGGAAACUCGGAUUAAUACCGGAUAGCCCUUUCGGCUUUCGAGCCGGUCGGAAAAGGUAGCUUCGGCCUCUGGCCGAGGAUGGGUCCGCGGCGGAUUAGCUUGUUGGUGGGGUAAUGGCCUACCAAGGCACCGAUCCGUAGCUGGUCUGAGAGGACGAUCAGCCACACUGGGACUGAGACACGGCCCAGACUCCUACGGGAGGCAGCAGUGGGGAAUCUUGCGCAAUGGGCGAAAGCCUGACGCAGCGACGCCGCGUGAGGGAGGAAGGCCUUCGGGUUGUAAACCUCUUUCAGGAGGGACGAAGCUACUCGGGUGAAUAGCCCAGAGGGUGACGGUACCUCCAGAAGAAGCCCCGGCUAACUACGUGCCAGCAGCCGCGGUA
rnacentral:rRNA from 1 species